GGAUCGGCGCGUUUUCGGGAAGUCGCAGCCUCCCAGGUGUUUCGGGCGCCCGGCACCCCAGAUCUUCCCGGGUCCGGCGUCCUCCCCAAACACAGUGUCAGCUACUGAGAAGACAGAUGAGUAAAGGCUUAGUCCCUGUCCUUGAAGAAGUAAAAAUGAAGUCCACGGUUCUGCAGAAAUCAUGCACAAACCAUGAAUUCUACUCCGUCAGGGCAGGGCUUGUAUCCGUUUGGAGCACUGCUUUUCUACAGUGCUCAGAACAAUUCCUGACGCACCACUGAAUAAAUAUUUGUUGAGUAAAUAACACUCAUGAAAUCCGAGGAUGAAUUUUUGUCACCUUUCCGAGGAACACGUAAAAUGUUGGUUGAUAAGUAUGG